AGGCCUGUCGUUCAGUGGUAGGACUUCGGUCUCCAAAACCGAUAACGGGGGUUCGAUUCCCUCCAGGCCUGCAA
rnacentral:tRNA from 6 species